rnacentral:rRNA from 1 species
AUGCGAUAAGUAAUGUGAAUUGCAGAAUUCAGUGAAUCAUCGAAUCUUUGAACGCACAUUGCGCCUGCCAGUAUUCUGGCGGGCAUGCCUGUUCGAGCGUCAUUUUAACCUUCAAGCUCUGCUUGGUGUUGGGGUCCUACAGGUCUCUGUAGGCCCUGAAAACCAGUGGCGGGCUCGCCACAGCCCCGAGCGUAGUACAUGUAUCUCGCUCAGGAAGCCGUGGUUAGCCCUAGCCGUAAAACACCCCAUCCGACUAACGCAAAGUUGACCUCGAAUCAGGCAGGAAUACCCGCUGAACUUAA